AACCUGCCCACUGAGGUUUUAAAUGGCCGCAGUAUAUUAACUGUGCAAAGGUAGCAUAAUCAUUAGUCUUUUAAUUGAAGGCUGGUAUGAAUGGUUGGACGAAAUAUUAACUGUUUCAUAUAAAAUUAUAAUAGAAUUUUAUUUUUUAGUUAAAAAGCUAAAAUUUAUUUAAAAGACGAGAAGACCCUAUAAAUCUUUAUAUUUAAAUUAUUAUAAUUUUAUAGAUUUUAUUUAUUUGUAAUAAUAGGUAAUAUUUUAUUGGGGUGAUAUUAAAAUUUAAUAAACUUUUAAUUAUAGAAUAUCAUUAAUUUAUGAAAAAUUGAUCCAUUAUUAAUGAUUAAAAAAAUAAGUUACUUUAGGGAUAACAGCGUAAUUUUUUUGGAGAGUUCAUAUUAAUAAAAAAGAUUGCGACCUCGAUGUUGGAUUAAGAUAUAAUUUUAGGUGUAGAUGCUUAAAUUUUAAGUCUGUUCGACUUUUAAAUUCUUACAUGAUCUGAGUUCAAACCGGUGUAAGCCAGGUUGGUUUCUAUCUUUAAAAA
rnacentral:rRNA from 1 species